rnacentral:rRNA from 1 species
GACGAACGCUGGCGGCGUGCUUAACACAUGCAAGUCGAACGAGUGGCGAACGGGUGAGUAACACGUGGGUGAUCUGCCUUGCACUUCGGGAUAAGCUUGGGAAACUGGGUCUAAUACCGGAUAGUGCAAGAUGAGCUCGCGGCCUAUCAGCUUGUUGGUGGGGUAAUGGCUACCAAGGCGCGACGGGUAGCCGGCCUGAGAGGGUGGACGGCCACAUUGGGAUGGGGGUGCGGCCCGGGGGCAUACUGGCGGCAGGGGUGGGAAAUAUUGCACAAUGGGCGGAGGCUUGAAGAAAGGACGCCGGGUGGGGGAGGACGGCCUUCGGGUUGUAAGCUCCUUACGACAGGGACGAGGUUACCGGAGUAGAAGCACCGGCUAACUACGUGCCAGCAGCCGCGGUAAUAC